UCAGCUAUUGCAACUAAAUUUCAACUAGCCAAUUGUAUAUAAUAUAUACAAUAAAGAAGCUCUAUUGUCGUUUUUUAUAUUGGACCAAGAUUUCUGGUAGAAAAAUUGCACACAAACACAAAUAAAAAACUGAUUCUGCUAAUCCAUGUGUUACUGUUAUAGGCAGAAAUUCGGGAAUGGAUUUGUACCCAACGAUAAAUCAUUGCUAACAGACCAUGAUUCUGAGUGGAGCUCGAUUAAGCAAUUCA